GACGAACGCUGGCGGCGUGCUUAACACAUGCAAGUCGAGCGGUAAGGCCCUUUCGGGUUACACGAGCGGCGAACGGGUGAGUAACACGUGGGUGACCUGCCCUCAGCUCUGGGAUAAGCCUGGGAAACUGGGUCUAAUACUGGAUAUGACUCCACGGUGCAUGUCGGUGGGGUGGAAAGCCUUGUGCGGCUGAGGAUGGGCCCGCGGCCUAUCAGUCUUGUUGGUGGGGUGANGGCCUACCAAGGCGACGACGGGUAGCCGGCCUGAGAGGGCGACCGGCCACACUGGGACUGAGACACGGCCCAGACUCCGUACGGGAGGCAG
rnacentral:rRNA from 1 species